GAUGAAGAACGUAGCGAAAUGCGAUAAGUAAUGUGAAUUGCAGAAUUCAGUGAAUCAUCGAAUCUUUGAACGCACCUUGCGCCCUUUGGCCAUUCCGAAGGGCAUGCCUGUUUGAGUAUCCUGAACACCUCAACUCUUUAUGGUUUUCCAUGAUGAGCUUGGACUCUGGGGGUUUUGCUGGCUCACAGUCGGCUCCUCUAAAAUGAAUCAGCUUACCAGUGUUUGGUGGGUAUCAUGGGUGUGAUAACUAUCUACGCUUGUGGUUUUUCCACCAGGUAACCUUCAGCAGUGGAGGUUCGCUGGAGCUCAUAGAUGUCUCUCCUCAGUGAGGACAGCCCUUUGAAUGUUUGAUCUCAAAUCAGGUAGGACUACCCGCUGAACUUAAGCAUAUCAAUAAGCGGAGGA
rnacentral:misc_RNA from 1 species